CCAGCCACACGAGGGUGAUUUUUACUAAGGAGAAGAAGAGGCUGUGCUGACCAAGAUGCAGCUGGUCAUUUUGGAGUGAAGCGCAUGAUUUACAAAAUCAACCUACGCAUCUUCUGAUGGGGAAUUGUCAAUUUGGUGGACAGCUGGGCAAGUGAAAAAACCUUUUGCAUAUCAAUCAUAUUCUAUUAUAUCUGAAAUUAUUAUGAUUUCAAUGAAUGUCAUAUCAGAGAACAGACAAUGUUUCAAUUUGUCACUUUUUGAUUUAAGGUCAGUACCCUGUCUAGCCUGCCAGAAGUUUGAUAGGGCGAAGACUGUUUCGCCGGAUUUGAAUCCCAUCAAAGGUGUUUCACCAUGGCACAUAAUUGGGUGGACCUCAUCGGACCCUUCACAAAAUCCAGGAAUGACAACAGCUGGUGUCUGACGGGACGAGUCUGGCAAGGUCAUGACCAAGGUGAUGGUGGACAUCUUUAACACCCACAGUUCUCCUGAGGUCAUCUUGAGUGACUGAAGUCAUGAAUGCUGGAACAUGAAUGCUGGAACAAGGUAUGGAUGUUAACGCCUAAGACAGCACUACAGGGAGACAGGACGGACAUCUGAUCGUCCUCACAGUGGCAGACCACGUGUAACAACUCCUGCACAGGAUCGGUUCAUCCGAACAUCACACCUGCGGGAGUGGGGUAAUAUCUCACAGCAAGAACUGGCAAAUCUGGUGCAGUCCAUGAGGAGGAGAUGCACUGCAGUACCUAAUGCAGCUGGUGGCCACACCAGAUACUGACUUACUUUUGAUUUUGAGCGUCCCUUUGUUCAGGGACACAUGAUGCCAUUUCUGUUAGUCACAUGUGUGUGGAACUUGUUCAGUUUAUGUCUCAGCUGUUGAAUCUUAUGUUCAUACAAAUAUUUACACAUGUUAAGUUUGCUGAAAAUAAACG